CCCGCACAAGCAGUGGAGUAUGUGGUUUAAUUCGAAGCAACGCGAAGAACCUUACCAGGGCUUGACAUCCCUUGAAGCAGCUAGAGAUAGCUGUGUCCUUCGGGACAAGGAGACAGGUGCUGCAUGGCUGUCGUCAGCUCGUGUCGUGAGAUGUUGGGUUAAGUCCCGCAACGAGCGCAACCCUCGCCUUUAGUUGCCAGCAUUCAGUUGGGCACUCUAGAGGGACUGCCGGUGUCAAACCGGAGGAAGGUGGGAUGACGUCAAAUCAUCAUGUCCCUUAUGACCUGGGCUACACACGUGCUACAAUGGUUGGUACAACGAGUUGCGAGUCGGUGACGGCGAGCUAAUCUCUUAAAGCCAAUCUCAGUUCGGAUUGUAGGCUGCAACUCGCCUACAUGAAGUCGGAAUCGCUAGUAAUCGCGGAUCAGCACGCCGCGGUGAAUACGUUCCCGGGCCUU
rnacentral:rRNA from 1 species